GCAGACGGUAGCGCGCUCUGAACCACGACUUCAGUGGAAUGUCAGGUUACUGCGGAAAGCAAAGAGAUGAAGGCAAUUUUGGCAUCGUCAAUAAAUCAGUUUCCAUGUUUAGGGGAUUGCCAUGGCACAGGAUAUGACACGCGAGGAAACACGGGCUCUCAUUGAGUGGCGGGCAGCAAAUGAGAGCCUUUUUACUGGAAGGAGAAAUUCCUGCAAGACUAGAUGAGAGGACUUUGUUAGCUCUUCAGCCUGUAACAGCCAAACAAGCAAAAAAAGUGGAACAACCUGAAGGCCAAAUACAAGGGACCCAUCUACAGGGAAGGGUGUAGAGGCAGGUAGCCCGACUGCCACCACCUGGCAGCGGUACAAUAUGAUGGAUGCUGUGCUCCAGUGGCAGCGCUCAAAAAGUCUACCAGCAACCUGACUUUCACAACAGGUGAUGCAAUCAGCACUACACCCUCGACCCCUUCUACAGAAGAGGCCCAGGGACAGCCAGGCUAUCCGUUUUUAAAGGACCAACCAGAAAGAGAGGAAGACAGAGAGAGACAGGCUCCGGCUAGGGAGGAAGAGAGGGAGAGGGCAGCUACUCAAAGGGCAGAGUGAUAUCUGUCACUAUUUGAGAAACUUGUUGACAAACUUUAAAUAAAGCACUUUAA